CAUCCAGACGCAUUGGUCUUCGGCGGUCGAAAUAAUUAAUCUUCCAAGAAUAUAUUCAACCGCCGUUAGCCGGUUUCCUGCCAUGAAACAGGCUCUGCUAGAACUGAAGAGGAUGAGCAGGAUUUGCCGGAUGGUACUCGCCACUUGUUUGGGAUCGUUUAUUCUGGUCAUCUUUUAUUUCCAAAGUAUGUUCCAACCAGGUGGAUGACUUCCUCCAUAAGAUGUCGGCCCGGUUCCAGCUGGAGGACGGCCAUGGUCUGGUCCAUGGCCAGUGGCCAGCUGCUGGAGAACCCGGACAAGGAGAUGAACGGGAACAAAAUGGACUCCUGCUGCAGCACAGAAUCAGCAUCCUCUAUGAGAGGAGCAUGGAGCUGUUCAAGAAUAUGUGCCAGCCUUCCGCGAUGCCGUCAUCACCAGCCUCAAGUCCAAGCCCCUCAAGCCAAAGCCCUUCCUCCCAGCUCUCGACACCCACUUCCUCAAGGGCAUCGGCCUGGAGGAGGUCCUGGACUCCUUCUUUGACUUCAGCAAGAGCAUGUUGGAGGAGUUCAGCUCUGUCAUCGUGGAGGUGUUUGAGAACAUUCAAGAGGCUGUACAGAAGGCAGAAGGACUGUGACAGUGCCUGUGCCCCUACCACCACUGUGCUUGUGAAUGUACUGAACUCUCCCACCAUCAACCUGAAUGUCCCUGCUGACCUGGAGGUUCAGGACCCUGCUUUCAUUCAGUAUGUGGCCUGGGAAGCCCUGGGCUUGUACAAACAGAUGGUGAAGUAAGAGCAGUAAUAGGAGUAGAUGGGUUAGACAAGGGUGCCACACUGGAUAUGGCAUUUUAUACUAUCUCAUAGCUGAGGCUUUCAUAUCAUCCUCCUGCCCUCUCAGAUAAAACUUAUACAUAUGCUCACUGCCCACAUAUGACAUAUUUUAGCAACAUUAAUAUGAGUUUAUCACCCUAAUGAUAAGUAUGAGUUCCCCAAUAGCUUUUUGGUUAAUUGUCUGAGUUGAAUUAUAUCUCUGGCCAUAAUGGUGGAAAUUCAUUUAAAAAUAUGCAAACUGAUAUACUGAGCAGCAUUAUGCCGCAUAUUGUUCAGGGUAAUAAACUGUUUGAUAAGUCACAACAAAGUCUGUGUUUCAGGACCAAGAGAGUAUUUUGGCAAGUGUCUCACUGGUUACAUCAGAUAGAUGGAAGAGAUAAAUGAACAAACUGCUAUAGGGAAUAGCAAUACACUGUUUCUUGUUCAGGGUCAUAGCCUGUUUGUGAACCAUUACAUUAUUUAUUGUUGGCUUUGUGUCAAGAAAUUAUGCAUUACCACAUAGGUGAGAUAAUUACUUGUAUUGAUCUGUUUGUGAGACUGGCAUCACUUCUCUUUGCAGGAAUGAAAACAUUUUGGUCUGAAAAUAAGAUGGCUGUACAUCCCCACUUUUUUGGCACAAUGGAUAAAGUAUUAAAUUAAAUUUGUUGUUGUA